GCUUGGGAGAGAAUCUGGCAACCACUGGUGCGGGAACUUUGGCUUCCAGGUGAACCAUUCCUCUCCCUGCCUUCUUUUACUUCCCUUAAUCUGAUAAUUUAUCACAUAUUUUCUUUUCUUUUUUCAGUUGAAUCAAGUCAAGCCAUCACUGGUUCACCACAUUGCACGGUGGGGACUAGGUGUGUGGAACUGUGGAAGUACUUGCCGGUUGCCACCCAUCAUGGAGGUGUUGGUCAAGGCCAAGGCAACAUGCUCCUUGCUAUUGGAGUUCAUGGCGCAGAUCUCCUAUAGUGCAUAUCCGUUCAGCGACAGACUUAUUCAACUUUCUCAAGCUAUUCCUACACUUUGAUUUCAUUCAGGUCAAUGCUCUCAUAUGAAUCUCUCAUGCCAGCCAAUUCGCAACAGUUGAGAUAUUUUAAUGACCAAUUGAUAAAGAAAGAAAUAAUUUCUAUCACCUUGCUAACUGCUGGCAAAUCCACGGCCAAUAUUAGAGAGGAAAUCUUUCCGGCACCAGGGUAUGAGCGGGGGAAUUGCCCCAUUUGCCACACUUUUUUUUCCACUUUGCAUAUUUGCCACACCAUGUGUCACUCACAUGUGGUGGUUGGGAAAAUAUGCAAUAAAAAAUGUAAAGUGUGGCAAAUGUGCAAAUAUUCCGGGUAUGAGAAGACCAUGUAGUGCAUCUGCCACCACGUAGUUCGUCCUCUUUAAUGGGAAUGCAAAAUAAACUUAGUAAGAACAGUAAGAAGUUACCUACUUCACUGUGAGUUUUUACAGCCGAUGACCCUUUCAUAUUAUUCAUUUUAUAUUUGUACAUGCAUAUAACCUGCCAGGCUGAUGCUCUUAAUUCAUGUGUUCUUUGGAUAAAUGGACUUUUGACACAGAUACAUGAAAGGAAAUCUUCUGAAUAUUGGACGAUCAGGUAAUUAUAUUUGUCUUAAAUGCCCCUCCUUAUUGAUAAUUGCAGCCCUGUUCUCUUAUUUUCAUAGGGUCAUAUCUCUAUUCUAACAAAAGUGCAUAUCAGAUUUGAAAUAUAACAUGUUCACUAAUAUAUCAGAUUCGAAAUGCUAAUCCUUUGUUUUUUUUGGGAAACCCCUCUUUUCAUCUAUUAGUAUUUAGUUAGCCGAAUUUUAUCACCUUUCAAAGAUAGAAGGCUAAGUUUUUUUCCUUAAAAAUGAUGUGAUAGGUAUAUGGAAAUAAGCAAAAUUUUGUUUCACCUUAAUUUUCAUGCAAUUGUCUUAAUAUUUCUUUUGCAUGAUUACCUUCUUGAUACUAAAUUUAUAGAAAGUUAUCAUCAAAGAUACUUAAGGAUUGCUUCAAAUUUUUGCCGUGAAUUUGUCAUCAUUCGUGAAAUACAGAUGUCUUUUCAUGUUUGUUGAAUUGUGUCUUAUAGUUUCUUAUAGUGUGCAGUUUCUUCCACUACCAGUUUGCUGAAACUAUGCUUGCUCAGACAAGUUCCAGCUUUGACUGAUGGUAAGGUGGUAAUAAUUAAACUUGCUAAUGCGAUGUAGUCUUGCAAGUAAUGGUGUACUCACAUCGUGCGAUGUAAUCUUGCAAGUAAGGUGGCCUCUUUACUGAGAGGUGUUGUGGGGCUGGGUCAUUGUUGGCUAUAAGGUGAUGCUCCUAUGUCACAUUAUUCAUCAGUGCGGUCAUAUUUUUCCCAUGAGGCAACUAGAAAAUGCCUGGAAAAGACACACUUGCACACACUAAUGUUAAUAGGGACCGAGUUACCAAAUGACCAUUGUAUGUGAGCAUUUUUUUUCCGUAUUGCAGCAACGAAAAACUGGCUACGGUUUUAUUAGCUUAUUAUUCAUUUCGUACUAUGCAGAGAUAUACUACAACAAGAUGUGUUCUCCUAAUCAUUUUGCCCAGAUCCCAUGUAUGGUAACUUCCUAUUAUUUGAAUUUUGAAGAUAUCAAUGUUGAUUAUGCCCAGCUUUGAUGUUUUUCUUUUGGAAAUAUACCAGCUUAAAUCUGUUACUGUCCAUGCUACUUAGGAAUACCAUAACUGCCUUCAGUUUAUGAUAUUAUUUCCACAAGCAUGCAUAUCUACAUACUCUAUAUUUGGGGAGUGCUGUUUUUCAGAUUCAUGAGACUUCUAGACAAAAUGGAUACACAUCAGCAUCAGCUCCACCAGAUGGCAUUAUCCUUGGAAUAGACACACCUGAAGCUAUUGUUAAAAUUUGGAAUGUAAAAUGUCAGUAAAGGAGGUGAUCGAAGAUUUAAUUGAGUCAGGGGAUGAGAUUACGGAAGCUAGGCCCACAAAGAGGAGGAGCUCGACUGGUUGGACCAAGAUGACACCACCAACGAAGAACCUAAGGGAACCAAGAUGACACCACCAACG